rnacentral:rRNA from 1 species
UACGUAGGGGGCGAGCGUUGUCCGGAUUUAUUGGGCGUAAAACGCUUGUAGGCGGCCACCGCGCGUCGGACGUGAAAUCUCCCGGCUCAACUGGGAGGGGUCGUGCGAUACGGCGGGGCUCGAGGCCGGUAGGGGGACGCGGAAUUCCCGGUGUAGUGGUGGAAUGCGUAGAUAUCAGGAAGAACACCAAUGGCGAAAGCAGCUCUCUGGGACGGUACUGACGCUGAGACGCGAAAGCGUGGGGAGCGAACAGG